CUCCGCGGGUGCGCGCACGGGGGGCGUGGAGCCACGUGGCGCUGCUGGGCCGGGCCGGCGGGCGGACCCGGAGCGCUGCGGCACGUGCUGUGGCGACCACGGCGGGUCGUGCGGGAGCCUGGGCAGGUGCCGCCGUGCGCGGGGCCCGUGGGGCUCUCCUCUGCGGGGGGUGCUGCGGCGCGAAGCUGCUUGUCUGUCCCGGGGCCCCUUUCCUCCCCGCCUGCCGCCUGCGCAGCCUCCCUGGCUCCUCGACGUGGUGGGCGGUGGUGCAGGGGGUGCACGACGGCCUUUGCUUCCCGGCCGGCGCUGAAACCUCUCCAGCGAGCGCCUCGCCAGGCACCAGCUUUCCCUUCUUUACCGGGAAAGAAAUGCACACGUGUUGCGGUUCCGGGAGCAGCGCCGGACAUCGCUUCAGUUCCAGGGGAGUUUGGGACCCUCGGUGUCAAUAGUGUGAAGCUGAGAGCGGGGAGCUGAAGGGACGGUGUUAUUAGUGCGUGCGUGCUCCGGGAACCUUACAUUGUGCACAGAUGUAUCCAGUACGGCUAUUUUUACUCCGUCACUGAGCCGUGGACCUUGGAAUCGGUGGGCCCCAUAAAGUUGGGUUCCUGACACUUCCUUCUAAGCAGAGAAGACGGCAGACAACCAACUGAGGAAGGAAGAAAUCCCCGCCCGCUCAGCAUAAGGGACGUAAAGGUCCCUGAAGGGCAGCCGGAGAAGAAGGAACGGAAGCAAGAGAAGAAAGCUCGGGAACAAGAAGUGUGGGUUGGGGUGGGCAGAAGGAAGGGGAAUGUUUAAUGUCUGCUUAGAGAAGUUCAGAUGGAGACUGUUGAGUGCCUCUCUACACUUCCAAACACCCAUUAGGGGCAAGCAGUCGCACGCUUCAAAUUGCACCGUGCACUCGGUCUUGGGUUGGCCCCAAUUGUGUGCAGGGAGGUUGAGGCUUUGUGCUAGUUGUGCAUUUUGAUAUGCAGCAGUGAAGGGUUUCGUAGGUUGUUUGGCUUUGCUAGUUAAGCAGUGGAUCAGAAUAGAUGCAAUCCAAGGCAGCGUAUAGGGUGUUCUUGUUUGGCUCAUUGAGUGGUGUUAGUAUAGAAAUUCAGGUUUGUGCUCUGUUCUGUUUGUGGUUUGGCUGUAGCUUUGCGUAGGAUGUAGCUUGCGGGGCCAAUUUGAGGCUGUUUGUGAGGCAAUAAAUAUAUUUGCAUCUGUACGUUAAGGCUUCAGGGUGUUCGUGUUUAACCUCCAGCUCCACAAGGACAAAUUUCUUGUCCUGUGUCCAAACAAUCAUAAAGGUAGUUGGCGUGGUCAACAUCAAACCGGCAGGAGCAAACGGGCCUAAGAUGUGCACAGUUGAACAAUAAACGGUCUAAGAAACUUCACCUCAUGGCUGGUACUUUUCUGUGCUGAAAUUUGGCUAUGGGCCUUUCCUGUUGUGAGCUGGCUGAAGGAUGAACUUUUUAAUUCAGUCUGCCCAUCCGAUCUGUGUUCUUACUGGUGCAAUGCAAAUAUUUCCUCUUCUGAUGGACCAGUGGGAAAAGAAUGUGUAACGCAUGGUUCCUAGUCAUUGGUUUACAAUGGUUAAUGCACUGUAGGAAAUCAGUCCUGAGUUAUUUGAGGUAAAGUAUAGUGAAGUUGUGGUGCUGUGGUGUAAUCUGUUGAAGUUCAGCUGCUCCUUGUCUCGAAAGGAAUACAUGGUCCGAAUGAAAAUAAAAUUCUCAGACUUGUGAGGUA